UAGCUACAGGCUUAACACAUGCAAGUCGAGGGGAAACGACAUCGAAAGCUUGCUUUUGAUGGGCGUCGACCGGCGCACGGGUGAGUAACGCGUAUCCAACCUGCCCAUCACUUGGGGAUAACCUUGCGAAAGUAAGACUAAUACCCAAUGACGUCUCUAGAAGACAUCUGAAAGGGAUUAAAGAUUUAUCGGUGAUGGAUGGGGAUGCGUCUGAUUAGCUUGUUGGCGGGGUAACGGCCCACCAAGGCGACGAUCAGUAGGGGUUCUGAGAGGAAGGUCCCCCACAUUGGAACUGAGACACGGUCCAAACUCCUACGGGAGGCAGCAGUGAGGAAUAUUGGUCAAUGGGCGAGAGCCUGAACCAGCCAAGUAGCGUGCAGGAUGACGGCCCUAUGGGUUGUAAACUGCUUUUAUAAGGGAAUAAAGUGAGUCUCGUGAGACUUUUUGCAUGUACCUUAUGAAUAAGGACCGGCUAAUUCCGUGCCAGCAGCCGCGGUAAUACGGAAGGUCCGGGCGUUAUCCGGAUUUAUUGGGUUUAAAGGGAGCGUAGGCCGGAGAUUAAGCGUGUUGUGAAAUGUAGACGCUCAACGUCUGCACUGCAGCGCGAACUGGUUUCCUUGAGUACGCACAAAGUGGGCGGAAUUCGUGGUGUAGCGGUGAAAUGCUUAGAUAUCACGAAGAACUCCGAUUGCGAAGGCAGCUCACUGGAGCGCAACUGACGCUGAAGCUCGAAAGUGCGGGUAUCGAACAGGAUUAGAUACCCUGGUAGUCCGCACGGUAAACGAUGGAUGCCCGCUGUUGGUCUGAAUAGGUCAGCGGCCAAGCGAAAGCAUUAAGCAUCCCACCUGGGGAGUACGCCGGCAACGGUGAAACUCAAAGGAAUUGACGGGGGCCCGCACAAGCGGAGGAACAUGUGGUUUAAUUCGAUGAUACGCGAGGAACCUUACCCGGGCUUGAAUUGCAGAGGAAGGAUUUGGAGACAAUGACGCCCUUCGGGGCCUCUGUGAAGGUGCUGCAUGGUUGUCGUCAGCUCGUGCCGUGAGGUGUCGGCUUAAGUGCCAUAACGAGCGCAACCCCUCUCCUUAGUUGCCAUCAGGUCAAGCUGGGCACUCAGGGGACACUGCCACCGUAAGGUGUGAGGAAGGUGGGG
rnacentral:rRNA from 1 species